rnacentral:tRNA from 1 species
AGGAUUUUAGUUAAAAAAUAACAUUUAAAUUGCACUUAAAAAUUAUAUCAUUAUACACAUAAAUCUUA